GAUUCCAGGCACAUAUGGUGGCACCGGGGUUUGCUGGCACUGCCACCUCUCCGGAGCGCAGCGCCCGCGCCGCCGCAAGGCCGAGGCUGCGGGGAUGCAAAGGGACAGGCAGGGGACGGUCACUGACACAGCUCUGCCUCUAAUGAUGUGGAGAAACCACCAAUGCUGAGAGUUCCAGAGCACAAACCCCAGAGAUAUCAGGAGUGCUGAAAAAAAAAUACCUCCUGACAAAGAGGUCAGGAGGAUAUUGGUUCUGAGCAUGGCUUGGAUUUCGCGGUGUGCUUCCUUAAGCAUGUUUAAGUUCUUGUAAGUUCCAUGAAUCUGUCAGAAAUCAGUGAGAAAGACCAGGAAACUGCUCCAUCCUUCUGUCUGUGGGAUACAAUGUCAAAUGGAAGAGGAAACAGAACAGUGGAGAGUGUGAGGGGAUGGAAGUGCUUCUACCUGCUCGUCCUUCCCUGCAUAAGCUCUGCAUCUAAUUGCAAACUAAGAAUGAGAGAAGCAACAUUACAGAGGGAUCUGCACCACAUUCCUAAAACCGGAAUGAACCUGCCGGCCGGUCAAUGCACGUAACCUGUUUGGGAGUCUCCGUGCUGCUCACACUCCCUGCCCCUCACCUGCUGGCCGCACCUUGAUCCCGUGAAAUUGCUGUCUACCUCUGAAGCACACUGUUUUAAUUAAAAACCCUUGCAAAUGAAACUGGGAAGGAUAUAAGAUGAGCUCUGUGCAAAGGACUAAUAGCUGGAAAAUGUAAGUAAAUUUCAAGGAUCACAGCAUUCCCAUACAUUAACAAAAGGGUUUUUAUUUGCUGUCAAGCAAUUUAGUACAACCCUCUUCAUGGCCCUGUGGCUUCUCUCCACAUCUAAUUGAGGCCUUUUAUUUACCUUUCCAGAUCCCUGUUUCAACUAAUUCUACUUGAACUCACCUUAUGCACUACAGACUUUGAUUCUGACAACAGACAGAGCUGUUCUUUGCCCUAUUUUAUUAUUAUUUUGUUUCUUAUCUCUUUACAACAUUCUUUGCUAAAGAAAGCAUCAUGUUUGUAUGCUUAGCUCAUUUUCUAGCUUUGUUGUUGAUAAGCCAUCUCUUUGUCACUGCAUCUCUAUCUUAAACUCCUCUUGCAUCAUCCCCAGUCCUGUGACGAGGAGGUCACCAAGCUGCUCUCAGUGAUCCCAGGUUUGCCUGUCAUGGUUUUUGGCUCUUCACCUUUACUGAGAUGCCAGCUCCAGUUCCCAUUCCUGUCAAUGUGCCUUGUGCUUCCCAAAUGCAAGCUGUGCAGCUUUGCACAAGUCUGUAGAGACUGUUUAUGCCUUUGGUAAAUGACUCUGUUUGGGUGCUGCUCCCUCCAAAACUCCAAUGUGUUCUAAUUCUGCAACCUGAGAGAGCUUGUGCUAGGACUGAGGUGCUCACAGUUCUGCUAUUUUUUCUAUGAUCGUUGCUGCAUAGAGUUUCCAUGUCUUAUUCAUCUUGUGGCAAUCUGAACUUUGCCAGAAUUACUCCCCAAACCUAUUACUCCCCUAUGCCAGUCAAGCUUUGCUGCUAUGUCACAGGACUUGGAAUAUAUUUCAAUUUAAUCACAGGGAAAUUGGUGAAAGAGAAAAGUUCAGAGAGAAGUUUUCAGAUGUAUUUUCCCCCACUAUUUCACUGGCUACCUGCCUUUUAACAUUCCCUUUACAAAGAUUUUUUAAAAAUUGCUUUACCUAGGAGGAUUCUACUUUUCUGUAAAGAUGCAGGGUCUUUCACAUUUCAAGUCAGGUAAAUGCAAUAUUCAAUAGUAUUUUGGAGGAGCGGAAGGAGGUGGUUUUGGUUUUUUUAGGUAAUUGUUCUGUGGGGUUCAACCAACUAUUUUUAGGAAACAUUGGGGAAAAACACUUAAAGAGACAGUUUUGGUGGAAAAGUUGUGUUGCUACUUACGUGCCAUUGAUAUGAAGAGAUAAAUUCAAGUUUUCCAUUACGUGAGUCUCUCUGGAGCCCACUAUGUUAAUACUUUUAACAGCAUCUGAGAAGAAAUGAAAAGCCAGCAUGUCACACUCCACAUGUAAACUUGAGUCUCACUGGUUUCCUAGUGAAGGUUUGUUUCCACAGACUUCCAGAUCUGAGCUUCAUCAAUCACACAAAUAAUACUAUUUGUCUCACACCCCAAAAGGAAACCUACCACUAGAGAUGCUGUAAAACAAAGCAAAACUUUUUGUCUGAUUGCUUUUUGAUUAUGUAUAAUCAAUUUUAUUAAUUCUUUACAUUUUUAAUUCUGUGUUUAUUUACUCCUGAAGCUGAGCAAAUCAAUGAGACUUUCCAAAUGCUUGAUUUAACUAAUUUAUUGUUUAGGGAUAGCAGGUGUAAAUUGAAUGAAUAAAUCCAUCACAAGUUACCAUAAAUACUUUAUUGUUUGAAUUGUAUUAGAGGCAUUUACAAAAGACAGUAAAAUUGUCUGUAGAUUAAAAAGAAACUGAAGAUUUUAUCUGUUUCCACCCAUUCUUCUGCCCCAGAAGAGCAUGAAGUCAAUUCUACAAUGGAAGAGCUUCAGUGAAGGAUGCACAUGAAACAAAGUUGAAGUUGUGUUACCAUGUUAAGCUAGAUUGUAUCUGUACAUACCAGACUGUGCCUGCACAUUUAGGGCUAGCUCUGCAUUGAAGGUGCAAAA